AGUGAACGCUGGCGGUAGGCCUAACACAUGCAAGUCGAACGGCAGCACAGUAAGAGCUUGCUCUUACGGGUGGCGAGUGGCGGACGGGUGAGGAAUACAUCGGAAUCUACUUUUUCGUGGGGGAUAACGUAGGGAAACUUACGCUAAUACCGCAUACGACCUACGGGUGAAAGCAGUGGAUCUUCGGACCUUUCGCGAUUGAAUGAGCCGAUGUCGGAUUAGCUAGUUGGCUGGGUAAAGGCCCACCAAGGCGACGAUCCGUAGCUGGUCUGAGAGGAUGAUCAGCCACACUGGAACUGAGACACGGUCCAGACUCCUACGGGAGGCAGCAGUGGGGAAUAUUGGACAAUGGGCGCAAGCCUGACCCAGCCAUACCGCGUGGGUGAAGAAGGCCUUCGGGUCGUAAAGCCCUUUUGUUGGGAAAGAAAAGCAGCAGGUUAAUACCCCGCUGUUCUGACGGUACCCAAAGAAUAAGCACCGGCUAACUUCGUG
rnacentral:rRNA from 1 species